UCUAACGGCGGUUCUACAUCCGGCGAGGACUCCACAUCCAGCGACGGUUCCGGCGAGUGCGAACCGUUACCUGUCUGGUUUCUAAUAGUUUUUCUCACUCGAACGUAGAAUGGAUUGUCGAAUGUCUGUGACCAGUUACCUACUUUCAACGCUCUCACCACUCGAAGAAGGUUUUCCUUUUCUCCAUCGACAAAAGUUUCACCGCAUACGUCGCUGUGUUCGAUCCAUAAGAAACGAGUGAACACGUCAAUAACGACAAGGAGAAAGCGAUAACCAGAAUUCUGCUUUGAGAGGGAGGAAACGUCUGCAAGAUCUACAUCGUAUUGCUCAUAAGGACCGGAAACUUCUACUCGCGCUCUCUUAAAUGAACGCCUUGGAGGUUUCUGUAAACUGUAAUCAUCGAGACUUUGGAUAUAACGUCUAAUCUUAUAAAGACCUGGUGAUUUAAAUCCUUGUGAUUUCAAUAUCUGAUGUACUUUCGUGGGACUGAGAAAUGCACCGCCGUUCUUAAAGUCGUAAUAUACCGCGUCUACACGACGCUUCUCCUCUGCUGUUAACAUAAUGAUAAUGAGACAAAAAAUAUAUAUACAUAAUCUUUUAUU